CAGGAGGAAAAGCAGAUUUGCUCUCUAUAAGCGGACCAAGGCCAACGGCGUCAAACCCAGCACAAUCCAUGUGGUCUCCACACCGCAGGCAUCCAAGGAUUUGACCAGUUUUCAGAAUACUGUAGAGCGAAGGUAAAAAUCUCAUCCAGGACUGCAGUCAACCCAGAUGUCUUGGAAACAAUCCUUCCUGAAACUUGCUCGUCCUUGAUGCCAUCCUGGUCGGAUUCUGGCGGAGAGCCCGGAGUGCCUGCUGAGGACUAGUGGACAGAGUUUCAAGAAAACGUGCUGUGGUUUUAGCUGCAGAGGUCUUUGAUGGUUUCUUACUUACACAUACAGCUCUGGGGAAAUCCAAUUCAAAAUGCCUGUAUUUGUGGUUAGUUCUUAGUCUUGUGUUAGAGGAAACAGAUAAUGAGAGAAGAUGACAGAGCUGA